rnacentral:rRNA from 1 species
AACGAACGCUGGCGGCAGGCCUAACACAUGCAAGUCGAGCGCCCAGCAAUGGGAGCGGCGCACGGGUGAGUAACACGUGGGAACGUGCCCUUUGGUUCGGAAUAACGCAGGGAAACUUGCGCUAAUACCGGAUAAGCCCUACGGGGAAAGGAUUUAUUCGCCAUUGGAGCGGCCCGCGUCUGAUUAGCUAGUUGGUGAGGUAACGGCCCACCAAGGCAACGAUCAGUAGCUGGUUUGAGAGAACGACCAGCCACACUGGGA